rnacentral:rRNA from 1 species
ACUCCGCGCGGAUAAUGUACCGGGGCUAAAGUCUACCACCGAAGCUGAGGGCUUUUUCAUUUAAUUGAAAGAGCGGUAGGAGAGCGUUCCCAUUGCUUUGAAGCCAUGAUGUGAAUCAGGGUGGAGCGUUGGGAAGUGAGAAUGCCGGAAUGAGUAGCAAUGAACCUGGGUGAGAAUCCCGGGCGCCGAAAAUCCAAGGUUUCCUACGCCACGGUCGUCGACGUAGGGUUAGGCGGACCUAAGCUGAGGGCGAAAGCCGUAAGCGAUGGACAGCUGGUUAGUAUUCCAGCCCCGGUGAGUUGUCGUUUAAAGCGUCGGAGUGACGCAGGAGGAUAGGAAAGGCGUACCCAUUGGACAUGGUAUGUCCCAAAGUCAAGGUGAUGCCGAAAUAGGUAAAUCCGUUUCGGAUAUUUAGCUGAGAUGCUGGGAGAGUCCUUCCACUACGGUGGAAUGUCGAUCUUUCUGAUUUCAUGCUGUCUAGAAAACCUUCGUCUGCUAUGGCAAUUUACCGACCGUACCGCAAACCGACACAGGUGGAUACUCCUAAAUGGGAGAAGGCGCGCGAGAUAACCCCCCUUAAGGAACUCGGCAAUUUAACCCCGUAACUUAGGAAUAAGGGGUGCCCUCGAUAGUUUUCGGGUAACCGGAUGCUUUUGAGGGUCACAGUAACAGGCCCGAGCGACUGUUUAACUAAAACAUAGGUCUCUGCGAAGGGGAAACCCGAAGUAUAGGGGCUGACGCCUGCCCAGUGCUGGAAGGUUAAGAGGAUGAGUGAGAGCUUUGAAUUUAAGCCCCAGUGAACGGCGGCCGUAACUAUAACGGUCCUAAGGUAGCGAAAUUCCUUGUCGGGUAAGUUCCGACCCGCACGAAUGGCGUAACGACUUGGGCGCUGUCUCGAGGGGGGACUCGGUGAAGUUGAAGUAUCCGUGAAGAUGCGGAUUACCCGCGGCAGGACAAAAAGACCCCGUGGAGCUUUACUGUAACCUGGCAUUGUGCUUGGGUCUCAGAUGUGUAGGAUAGGCGGGAGGCUAUGAAAUUUUGGCGUCAGCUGAGAUGGAGCCGUCCUUGAAAUACCGCCCCUCUUAGAUUUAUGUACUAACCCCUGAGCAAGCAGGGAGACCGUGUCAGGCGGGCAGUUUGACUGGGGCAGUCGCCUCCCAAAAGGUAAUGGAGGCGUACAAAGGUUCGCUCAGGGUGUAUGGAAACCACCCGCGGAGUGCAUUGGCAUAAGCGAGCUUGACUGUGAGGCAUACAAGCCGAGCAGGGACGAAAGUCGGUCAAAGUGAUCCUACGGCCCCGUGUGGAAGGGCCGUGGCUUAACGGAUAAAAGCUACCCCGGGGAUAACAGGCUGAUCCCUCCCAAGAGUUCAUAUCGACGGAGGGGUUUGGCACCUCGAUGUCGGCUCAACGCAUCCUGGGGGUGAAGGCGCUCCCAAGGGUCCGGCUGUUCGCCGGUUAAAGCGUUACGCGAGCUGGGUUCAGACCGUCGUGAGACAGGUCGGUCUCUAUCCGCCGUGGGCGUAGGAGAUUUGAGGGAAGCUUUUCCUAGUACGAGAGGACCGGAAAGGACAGACCGCUGGUGUGCCAGUUGUAUCGCCAGAUGCAGCGCUGGGUAGCCAUGUCUGGAAGGGAUAAGCGCUGAAAGCAUCUAAGCACGAAGCCCCUCCCAAGAUGAGAUCUCCCACCCUUUUU